AAAACGAUUAGCUAGACGUGAAUUUCUUGCUGUUCCCACGGUGAUACAUUGAAAAAAGAUCUAAUGGCGUGAGAAUACGGUAUAAUAAUUUCACGUGAGCUGCAGCGUGAUGUAACGAUAUUCUAAUGCUGGUGAUGUAUUGCCCACGAGUGACGACAAUGCGAGGUGCCGGCAAGAAACCGGUUUCUUCUCAACUGCGUUACGCCGGCAUUGGCUGUGGAUAACACAUUUCGGUACCUUUUACGAAAACAGGAGCUGCAAAAUCAGGUUGACUUUCUGAAAUCGACGCAUCCGUCCGGUUUGGUUACGUUGGAACCGUCCGUUCAGGGAGGAAGCAUCGAUACGAAGCUUUCAUUCGCCGACAUUGACUGCAAGAG